CUGGGCGGGGCCUCUUUGGCAUGGUGGCUCUGAACAAAGGAACAAACAAUUUUGGUGCAGAAAGUGAUUUGGGCGACCGGCGACCUGGGGGGUCACCGCAGAGAGGUGUGGGGCUGACGGGCCUCCAGCAGACGUGGCCACUCACAGGAGAGCGGCAUCGGACUCGGGUCCAACCCUGGGCAGAACAUUCUUCGCAAUGGACGGUUGCCUGAGACGUGUGAUACUGUACUAUUCUGGUUUCCCAACCCAGGGCGAUGCGGACAGUUGCCUUACGACUCUUGGAGGUGCCCAGGUGACUCCAGGCCACACACAGGCACCAGUAGUCCUCGGGGCCGUGGAAGUCCUCCACCUGCUGACGGG